rnacentral:rRNA from 1 species
GACGAACGCUGGCGGCGUGCUUAACACAUGCAAGUCGUACGGUAAGGCCCUUUCGGGGGUACACGAGUGGCGAACGGGUGAGUAACACGUGAGUAACCUGCCCACAACUUUGGGAUAACGCUAGGAAACUGGUGCUAAUACUGGAUAUGUUCUCCUGCUGCAUGGUGGGGGUUGGAAAGCUCCGGCGGUUGUGGAUGGACUCGCGGCCUAUCAGCUUGUUGGUGGGGUAGUGGCCUACCAAGGCGGCGACGGGUAGCCGGCCUGAGAGGGUGACCGGCCACAUUGGGACUGAGAUACGGCCCAGACUCCUACGGGAGGCAGCAGUGGGGAAGAUUGCACAAUGGGCGCAAGCCUGAUGCAGCAACGCCGCGUGCGGGAUGACGGCCUUCGGGUUGUAAACCGCUUUCAGCAGGGACGAAGCUUUUUGUGACGGUACCUGCAGAAGAAGCACCGGCUAACUACGUG